rnacentral:pre_miRNA from 1 species
CAAGUGUAACAGGACAACCUGUCUAAAGAGUAACAGGUUGUCCUGUUACUCUUU